ACAUGCCUACAACUUAGCGUUAAUGCACCAGAUCCCAUUAUAACUCUGUAGUUAAGUGUGCUCGGGCUAGAGUAGUACUGGGAUGGGUAACUGCCCAAGAAGUUCUAGUAUUUUACAUGCC
rfam:Picea glauca, whole genome shotgun sequence.